UUCAUCAUGGCCAUGUGGUUAAAGCAGUGGACUAGAAAUCCAUUAUGGUCUCCCCACAUAGGUUCAAAUCCUACUUGUAAUA
rnacentral:tRNA from 1 species